GGUGGUUCUCGGGUGAUGCACCCCGGAAUCAAGCCCCCUCCUCUCUGGUUCCGGUUGCGUCACCUGAGAACUGCA
rfam:Myotis lucifugus cont2.7293, whole genome shotgun sequence.